rnacentral:lncRNA from 10 species
CACAUUCCAAUCUCAUGAGAGAAGAGCCCCUAGUUCUCAGGACUUUAACCCUCUUCCUGCCAGCACCCCCAGGCCAGUGCUGAGGGCAGGAGGACUUACUCCUGACAUGCAUCUGCCACCCAAACCAUCACAAUAGCCUUCCGCCUUCUCAGUGGGAGUACGAGUGACCCUGCAGCAGAAGGCAGCAGGAGGUGGUGACAAGAAUACACGUCUGGCCCUAAAACCUGGGUCAGUCACAUCCUGGCUGCCAUUCACCAGCUAUAUGAUUUUAGGAAAGUGGAUUCACCUCUGAGCUGCAGAUUCCUCAUCAAUAAAAUGAAGACAAGA